rnacentral:rRNA from 1 species
CUUGAGGCGUGGCUUCCGGAGCUAACGCGUUAAAUCGACCGCCUGGGGAGUACGGCCGCAAGGUUAAAACUCAAAUGAAUUGACGGGGGCCCGCACAAGCGGUGGAGCAUGUGGUUUAAUUCGAUGCAACGCGAAGAACCUUACCUGGUCUUGACAUCCACAGAACUUUCCAGAGAUGCAUUGGUGCCUUCGGGAACUGUGAGACAGGUGCUGCAUGGCUGUCGUCAGCUCGUGUUGUGAAAUGUUGGGUUAAGUCCCGCAACGAGCGCAACCCUUAUCCUUUGUUGCCAGCGGUUAGGCCGGGAACUCAAAGGAGACUGCCAGUGAUAAACUGGAGGAAGGUGGGGAUGACGUCAAGUCAUCAUGGCCCUUACGACCAGGGCUACACACGUGCUACAAUGGCGCAUACAAAGAGAAGCGACCUCGCGAGAGCAAGCGGACCUCAUAAAGUGCGUCGUAAUCCGGAUUGGAGUCUGCAACUCGACUCCAUGAAGUCGGAAUCGCUAGUAAUCGUAGAUCAAAAUGCUACGGUGAAUACGUUCCCGGGCCUUGUACACACCGCCCGUCACACCAUGGGAGUGGGUUGCAAAAGAAGUAGGUAGCUUAACCUUCGGGAGGGCGCUUACCACUUUGUGAUUCAUGACUGGGGGUGAAGUC